rnacentral:rRNA from 1 species
AUUGAACGCUGGCGGCAUGCUUUACACAUGCAAGUCGAACGGCAGCGCGGGCUUCGGCCUGGCGGCGAGUGGCGAACGGGUGAGUAAUACAUCGGAACGUGCCCAGUAGUGGGGGAUAGCUCGGCGAAAGCCGGAUUAAUACCGCAUACGACCUGAGGGUGAAAGCGGGGGAUCUUCGAACCUCUCGCUAUUGGAGGGGCCGAUGGCAGAUUAGAUAGUUGGUGGGGUAAAGGCCUACCAAGCCGACGAUCUGUAGCUGGUCUGAGAGGACGACCAGCCACACUGGGACUGAGACACGGCCCAGACUCCUACGGGAGGCAGCAGUGGGGAAUUUUGGACAAUGGGCGAAAGCCUGAUCCAGCAAUGCCGCGUGUGUGAUGAAGGCCUUCGGGUUGUAAAGCACUUUUGGCGGGAACGAAAAGGACUGUGCCAAUACCACGGUUCGAUGACGGUACCCGCAGAAUAAGCACCGGCUAACUACGUG